ACUUUGCUCUGUGUUCCAGAGCCUCUGUGUUGCCCUUUUCCAAGAAUGGUACCAACCUGUUGGAGCAAUCUCAAGGAAAAUUGCUGAAUUCAUCAAGACUCGUGGUUGUAUACUGAUCUCUUCUGCAGAUUCAGCUCACGCUGAGCUAUUUCUUUGUCUCUGGGACCAGUUUGCCAGUGACAGGAUCAAGAGGUGCAUGCAGUCCUGCUGAGGUCAGCAGUGUUCCUCACAUCCAUGAAAUGAAGAGCUGACUACAGUCCUUCACUGAACCACCACCGGGGCAGAGCUGCCACAACUGUCCUAUCCAUCAGAGGGAGCAUUCCCUGAUCCUCUCAAGCAAUGAUCAUCCAAAACAGGCUUUCAGUCUGCUGCAAGAAAGAGGAAAAUUUAGCAGCACAAAUAUUCCCUCUUUUAGAAAGGUCAAACACACAAAAAAGACAUUUUUGAAGGAAUGUCGGAUGACCCCCAGAGCCUCUGACAGGCAAUUUUCCUGUCCCUGCACUGCCUGGAGUUUUAAUUGCCUCUUUGGGGAGGUGCUAGAAGCCGCCUGAGAGUGCAGGCACAAUCCAGCAAUUUGGCACACGUGACUUCUUCGAAUAUGGGAGCAAUUAGCAAAAAGUGAUAUGGUGAAUGGUAGCAUAAGCACUGAAUUCUGGACAACAUUCAGACAAGAAAUCUAAACCAGAGCAGAGUGGGGCAGACAGAAAUCCAAACAAGCUUUCACAGAAAUAAAAAGCAUCGGCUACACUUAGAUAAUGAGAGCACAACAUCAGGAGAUUGAAUUCAAAGUCACCACUGCACUCCUAAAACUUGCUGACUGAAUGGGUUACAGCAGAAAGUGCAAGUUCACUAAAGCAGUUUGUGAGGAAAAAAUAUCCAAAAUGUUUAGUAGAAAUCGCUUUAAAGACUUCUGGGAGAAUUAAGUGAGCCCAAAUUGGACAAUGAGCACACCAGUUCAUAGAGGAGAGGGGAAACAAAUCUGUAUUCUAGGCGUCAGCUAAGAUUUGUGUGUACCCACAGGAGCUAAUUUCCUAGAUAAUUUUUUCUUCUUCUAUAUUGUUCAUACAGCAUUCUUUUUUAGUAACCUGCAGGAUGCCAUGAAGCAUUAACAGUAGUUUUAAGACAUCAGCUAGUGAGGAGUUCCUGUCUUAGGAACAGAAAAUCCCAAGUCAUCAAACCCUUCCCAUUUCAAACGACUGCAAGCAGCAUUUGUCCUAAAUCAUGUCUCCCCAGUCCAGCUAGGUUUGCUUGAACAACUGGAAAUGAAUCAUUUGCAGCCAGGAGGAUGCUGUGUCCUGGGAUCAUCACACUUCAAACAGGUUUUGCUCUGCCAGUGAGGUCCCCACCCUGUCCAACACCUGAACGUGGUGCCCAGCCGGGUCCCCUCUGUCUGGGGGCAGUGGCUGUGCCCCAGUGGGGACUGGGCUGCUCCACUGCUGAGACAAAGAGUGAGCAACAGCUGAGAAAGGACAGAAAGAGGAUUGGAAAUGGGGCAGGAACAAAAAUGGAGGAGGGCUGAUAAUAACAAAGAAGAAAGAAAACAUGGUAGCUGGAAAAGCAAGAAAUGUACGAGCAGCCGAUCGAUGAAAUAGCAAGAAAUAAUUUAUUAGUGAGCAAAACCAGAGGGCAAUGAAAUUAAAUGGUUAAUUAUGCAAUGGAGCAAACAGCAAAUUAAUUAAAUGUGUGUGGAUCUACCAGGUGCUCUGAUUAUUUAAGGCAAAACAUGGUUAGUGAAACUAUUCAUUCUCUGGUAUUUCAGUUAUUCAUGGUAUCUCAGGCCAUGGGGAUUAGAGACUGUUUAAAUGCAAGGUCCAGCCAUGUAUAUCUAGCAAUCAUUUAUCUUGAUAGUGCAAGUGAGAUGAACAGGACAGUGAUGGAAAGUAGUAGGGACACAGCUGUUCUGAAUAAAAUGCCUUUAAAGAAGAUGCUAUAACAAGAAAAUAUAUAAUGUGUUGCUUUAUUUUUAUUUUCUUUUACAAAUUUUUUUGGACUAAUCAGUUUGAAUUGUUACAGCUGAGAAUAGAAGCUGGAAAUGUUUGGCUCUUGCUGCCCUGACAAUGGAAACAACUAUGUCUGAAGCAAGGUAAUUCAAAUAGAUACAAUUGCUUAUUCUUUGGUUAACUUUAAACUGCUGGAGGAAGCCAGGAUUUUUGAAAAUGAAUGAUUAACAAAUUAUUACAAUAAUGUCUAAUGACUGAAAAAAAAUCAUCUCCUGCUUACCUGUUGAUUAAAGUCUUGAUAAACCUACUGUACUGUCUAAAAUAAUUCUGGGUUACUUUGUAACUCCACUUCUUAGGUAUGGCAAUGUUCUCCUACAGUCUGAUUUGCUAGUAUUACCUGUUUUUUUUUAAUUUCCCCCCCCAGUGGGGGUUUCCUAUUUAUUUUUGGAAUUUUUAUUCUGUAAAUAUUUUCUCAUUUCCUCUCUGUUCAGCAGAUUUUGAUCUCAGGUGUGAUUGUGUUACAUUGAAAUCAUUCCUUUUCUCUUAUUAAGCAUUCCUGAUGAACACAAUUGGCCCACGUGAUCAUUCUUGGGAAUAUUUAUAAGUGGUGACUCACAUGGAGCGUGGGCAGUGGCACUGCUGUAAGACUGGAGUGGUGGCACUUGGACUCUGGAGCUCUCAUUAUGCCUGUCUGACACCACGGAGCUGAAAUGUGCAGCCGAACAGAUUUAUGCUGCUGCUCCCAUCAGAGGGGAAGGACUGCUCCUACUCGUGGUCUGGGAUCACUAAACUGAGCUGGGGAAGAAUUUUAGUAGCCAACUUUGCCCUGGUACUGAAAGCAACAAAACCUGCCUGAGCUGCUGGUGAGGCAGGCAAGAGAUGGAUUUUCCUUUCACUGUGUUUUUCUUGCUGCCAGUUGCCAGGGAGGAGCCAGCAUGGCAUCAUUUUGAAGUACUGCAGUUGAAAGCUCCACUGCCAUCAAAUUCUAUGGCCCCAUGCUCCCCUAUCCUCCCCUGUCACCUUGGUCUGUGUCCUCACCUGGAAUCCCCUCCUGGCAAGAGUCUCUCAUCCUUUGGAGCAGGGCAGGACCAGGCAAUUGCAGAGCAAGCACCUCCUGCCUGCAUCUCCCUCUCCUGACUUGACUUUCAGGGAAGAGAAGGUAUGGCAGCUGCAUUAGGCAUGCCAAGCACAGUGCCUCCAGUGAGUAGGCUGGAGAACUGAAUCCUCCUUAGAAGUGCUUUUAAAGAUCAUGGCAAAUGGGGCUGACCAGAGCCCUUUCCAGCCUCGGCACAGCAGUGGCCAGCUGGAGAAUAUGGGUGCUGCAUUGCUGCCCACAUGAGCAGGGAAAAGAGAGAUUUGUUUUUUUAAGUGUGAAAUGCACCAGUGCAUAAGUGUUAGCUUAUUUGAAAACCAUCAGCACGAAUAGUUAGGAUUACAUUGCUUUGAGUACUAAUGAGGAAAGUGCCAUUUUUCUGUGCUAGUGAAAGCCACACAAUCCACUUUAUUCUUAUGUUCGUAUUAUUGCAGUUACAAGAGACAAUUUGCAAAUGCCUGGCUGCUUCAUAAAAGCUAAAGUACUUGGAUUCACAGCAGGUACUAAUUUUGUGUGCAUCUGCUGAGCUGUGCAUGGCAUCAACCUGUUUUUAAUUACACCUGCAUGUCAGGCUCAAAAUGCAUCUGUGAACAGGAAAGAUGAAAGGUAGACAGAACAGGAUGUCAUGUAUUUCCCAUCACCUUUCACUGGCGGGCUGCCCACAGAAGUAAGAGGAAAUUCCCUUCUUUCAUAGUGAAAAUGUAAAGAUUUAGUAAGCUUUGCACUGCCAACAGCAAGGUGUAAUCACUCCUUUAAGGAAGCACGCAUGUGUUAACAGGGGUGAGCAGGGGGAGCUCCAAGUAGCUUUCCACACCUUCCCUACCACUGAUCUGUAAAGGGCAACAAGUAGCUCUUGCUUUGUUAUAUUUUAUUUGCAUUGAAAUGUGUAAGUUGGUUGACUUAAUGUCCCAACUUCAUUGUGAAAUAAGAUAUGUGAAAGCAGGAGUGAUCAGGGCUUUUCAAUGGCUGGAGUAACAAAGACAAAAAUUAAACAACACAUUGCUCUUCUGUUAUUUCACCCAAGUGUAGGAAAAAAAUGUUUUUACAAAUAAAAUAAUUCAGACUACAGCUAGGGAUGGCCAUGACUCUUGAAACACUGGACAAGGUGAUUCAAAAACUGCUAGAGUGUCAGAAGAAAUGCUUUUCAUGAAGAAAUUCCCUCUGAAUAAAAAGUACUAAGCCGUUUGUGAUUGCACCUUCAAGCCAUUCCUUUAAUUUGUUCCUGUCAUUUGGAAUUGUUUCUUUUUCUAAUUGCAUUAAAAAUUGUGCACUUUAAAGGCU